rnacentral:rRNA from 1 species
UACGUAGGGUCCGAGCGUUGUCCGGAAUUACUGGGCGUAAAGAGCUCGUAGGUGGUUUGUCGCGUUGUUCGUGAAAACUCACAGCUUAACUGUGGGCGUGCGGGCGAUACGGGCAGACGUUGAGUACUGCAGGGGAGACUGGAAUUCUGGUGUAGCGGUGGAAUGCGCAGAUAUCAGGAGGAACACCGGUGGCGAAGGCGGGUCUCUGGGGCAGUAACUGAC